rnacentral:sRNA from 1 species
CUUAGCAACAGGAGGCUGUAAAUGACAUUGCUCUUGACACUUUAACUUAGCCCUCCAUGGCAAGCAGAGGAUAAUGAAGGCCUAGGCAGACAGCAAGACAGAAUUCAAAACCAGCGGCGAGCAAGUACAGGAGAAAGGUCACACAGGAGCCGUGGAAACAGGAGGUUGGCUAAUCUAGUCGGCCAAUUCACUCCAGGAGACUCCUGUCCUGGCCUAUCCGAGUCCUGGGAUUACAGUGCAAGUACAUCCCUGACAUCCCCUAGGACACACUUACAAUAAAAUCGUCAUGAUGUUUACCUGACACUCAAAUUUAACUGAGCAUCCGGAUUCUGUCUGGCAAAGCAUCUUGGGUAGUCUUGCAGCAGAGGCUUAGAGUCGCAUUUCAAGUGGGGAACCCGGAAGGUCGUGAUGGGGA